UAAGGUCACGGCGAGACGAUCCGUUUACCUUGAAAAUAGGUGCCAGGUGUAAGUACAGCAAUGUAUGCAGCCGAGGCAUCCUAAUAGACCGAUAGAUUUGAAC
rnacentral:rRNA from 1 species